CCUACGAGUGGCAGCAGUGAGGAAUAUUGGUCAAUGGUCGGAAGACUGAACCAGCCAUGCCGCGUGCAGGAAGAAUGUCGUAUGGGUUGUAAACUGCUUUUAUAUGGGAAGAAUAAGGCGUACGUGUACGUUGAUGACGGUACCAUAUGAAUAAGCAUCGGCUAACUCCGUGCCAGCAGCCGCGGUAAUACGGAGGAUGCGAGCGUUAUUCGGAAUCAUUGGGUUUAAAGGGUCUGUAGGCGGGCUAUUAAGUCAGGGGUGAAAGGUUUCAGCUUAACUGAGAAAUUGCCUUUGAUACUGGUAGUCUUGAAUAUCUGUGAAGUUCUUGGAAUGUGUUGUGUAGCGGUGAAAUGCUUAGAUAUUACACAGAACACCGAUUGCGAAGGCAGGGGACUAACAGACAAUUGACGCUGAGAGACGAAAGCGUGGGGAGCGAACAGGAUUAGAUACCCCUGUAGUU
rnacentral:rRNA from 1 species